rnacentral:rRNA from 1 species
CAACAGCUAGAGUUUGAUCCUGGCUCAGGAUGAACGCUGGCGGCGUGCCUAACACAUGCAAGUCGAACGGAGCACCCCGGAACGAGACUUCGGUCAAGGGAAGGGAAUGCUUAGUGGCGGACGGGUGAGUAACGCGUGAGGAACCUGCCUUGUAGUGGGGGAUAACACUUAGAAAUAGGUGCUAAAACCGCAUAAGCGCACGGGACCGCAUGGUCUUGUGUGAAAAACUCCGGUGGUACAGGAUGGUCCCGCGUCUGAUUAGCCAGUUGGCAGGGUAACGGCCUACCAAAGCGACGAUCAGUAGCCGGCCUGAGAGGGUGAACGGCCACAUUGGGACUGAGACACGGCCCAAACUCCUACGGGAGGCAGCAGUGGGGAAUAUUGCACAAUGGGGGAAACCCUGAUGCAGCGACGCCGCGUGAGUGAAGAAGUAUUUCGGUAUGUAAAGCUCUAUCAGCAGGGAAGAAGAUGACGGUACCUGAGUAAGAAGCCCCGGCUAACUACGUGCCAGCAGCCGCGGUAA